rnacentral:rRNA from 1 species
UACGGAGGGUGCAAGCGUUAUCCGGAUUCACUGGGUUUAAAGGGUGCGUAGGUGGUUGGGUAAGUUUGAUGUGAAAUCUCUGAGCUCAACUCAGAAACUGCAUUGAAUACUAUCCGGCUAGAGAAUCGGAGGGGGGACUGGAAUACUUGGUGUAGCAGUGAAAUGCGUAGAUAUCAAGUGGAACACCAGUGGCGAAGGCGAGUCCCUGGACGAUUUCUGACACUGAGGCACGAAAGCUAGGGGAGCAAACAGG